AGCGAACGCUGGCGGCAGGCCUAACACAUGCAAGUCGAACGAACCUUUCGGGGUUAGUGGCGGACGGGUGAGUAACACGUGGGAACGUGCCGUUAGGUUCGGAAUAACUCAGGGAAACUUGUGCUAAUACCGAAUGUGCCCUUCGGGGGAAAGAUUUAUCGCCUUUAGAGCGGCCCGCGUCUGAUUAGCUAGUUGGUUGAGGUAAUGGCUCACCAAGGCGACGAUCAGUAGCUGGUCUGAGAGGAUGAUCAGCCACAUUGGGACUGAGACACGGCCCAAACUCCUACGGGAGGCAGCAGUGGGGAAUCUUGCGCAAUGGGCGAAAGCCUGACGCAGCCAUGCCGCGUGAAUGAUGAAGGUCUUAGGAUUGUAAAAUUCUUUCACCGGGGACGAUAAUGACGGUACCCGGAGAAGAAGCCCCGGCUAACUUCGUG
rnacentral:rRNA from 1 species